GCCCAGCAGUGGUGGCAGUGGAGGCCUAUCAGGCAGGUUAACCCUUCCCUGCCUGCUACACUGGGACAGACAGUGUGGGCAGCCACAAAGCAGUCAAGGGAGUCUUACUAAAUGCAUGAUGCGACUUCUGGACCCUUUGAGAUUCUUCUCUGAAAAGGCCAGCUUUUGCAAUGUCCGUACUGGGCAAUCCACUGUUGGUGAUAUGUCAUCCUCUCCUGCCUAUAUUGCAGAGGUGUCCUUGCAUCUGGACUAUAUCUACAUUACCAGCUCAGUGCCUUCUUUUGUUCCAUAACUGCACAAAGUAUGUAUCACUCCUUAAAGAAAUUAUUACAAUCUGUUCUUUUAG